rnacentral:rRNA from 1 species
AACGUAGGAGGCGAACGUUAUCCGGAGUUACUGGGCGUAAAGCGCGUGUAGGCGGUGGUGUAAGAUCUGCGUGAAAGCUCUCAGGCUCAACCGGGAGAGGGCGUAGAAGACUGCACGACUGGAGUGCGGCAGAGGGACAUGGAAUUCCGGGUGUAGUGGUGAAAUGCGUAGAUAUCCGGAGGAACACCAGAGGCGAAGGCGGUGUCCUAGGCCGAGACUGACGCUGAGACGCGAAAGCGUGGGUAGCGAACGGG